rnacentral:rRNA from 1 species
CAGUAACGGCGAGCGAAGUGGGAAGAGCUCGAGCCUGAAAUCACUGGCAGUCACUGCCAGAGAAUUGUGGCCGGGAGAGGCAGCGGUGCCUGGACUGACACUGUCGAAGUUGACCUGGAAAGGCACGUCAGAGAGGGUGAGAGCCCCGUGUGCGACACUGUCGGGAUAGGCUGCUACUGUCUUCGGAGAGUCGGGUUGUUUGGGAAUGCAGCCCAAAGUGGGUGGUAAACUCCAUCUAAAGCUAAAUACUGGCACGAGACCGAUAGCGAACAAGUACCAUGAGGGAAAGGUGAAAAGUACUUUGAAAAGAGAGUCAAAAAGACCGCAAAACCGUUAGGAGGGAAACGAAUGCAGCUAAAGUAGCUCCCCUUCAGGCUCAGGAAGUGUCGAAUCAGCUUGCUGGCCGGUGGAAGCCGCAAGGCUCCAGCGGUUGGACGGCUGGUUGACUGAUCUGCACUCCUGGGGGGAGCUGGCCAACAACAGUUGCCUCUGGCUCACGAGGGUGUUUGGGUAGGUAGCCUCCUCGUCUCGAGGUGGAACUUAUAGCCAUCCAUCUGGCAGUCUGGAGAUGACUGAAGGAGAGAUGUGAACUUUCACACUUGCAGCACAGGCCCUCCUGGGCCGGGCCGCCUCUUUCCGUUUGGGUACCGCUCCGGGGACUGCAUGCAGUGUCCGCUGACGAAUGCCUGCUUGGUGGGGGGAAUGGUCACGCCUUGUGCUGCAGUUGUUGGUGUCCAAAUGGCUGCAUCCGACCCGUCUUGAAACACGGACCAAGGAGUGCAACAUGCGUGCGAGUCUUGGGGUGGUAAACCCAUCGGCACAAUGAAGGUGAAGGCAGAUUUUGGUCUGCUCAGGCAGGAGCCUCCUCCCAGGGGGCGCACUGUCGACCGAUCCCAGGCUACGCUGUGGUGGGAUUUGAGUAAGAGCGUGCCUGUUGCGACCCGAAAGAUGGUGAACUAUGCCUGAAUAGGGUGAAGCCAGAGGAAACUCUGGUGGAAGCUCGUAGCGAUUCUGACGUGCAAAUCGAUCGUCAAAUUUGGGUAUAGGGGCGAAAGACUA